GAUGAACGCUGGCGGCGUGCCUAAUACAUGCAAGUCGAGCGAACAGACGCGGCGCUUGCUCCUCUGACGUUAGCGGCGGACGGGUGAGUAACACGUGGAUAACCUCCCUAUAAGACUGGGAUAACUUCGGGACACCGGCGCUAAUACCGGAUAAUAUAUUGAACCGCAUGGGUCAAUAGUGAAAGACGGUUUUGCUGUCACUUAUAGCUGGAUCCGCGCCGCAUGAGCUAGUUGGUAAGGUCACGGGCUACCAAGGCUAGGAGGCGUGGCCGACCUGAGAGGGUGGUCGGCCACAUUGGAAGUGAGACAGGGUCAAGACUCCUACGGGAGGCAGCAGUAGGGAAUCUUCCGCAAUGGGCGAAAGCCUGACGGAGCAGCGCGGCGUGAGUGAUGAAGGUCUUCGGAUCGUAAAACUCUGUUAUUAGGGAAGAACAAAUGUGUAAGUAACUAUGCAGGUCUUGACGGUACCUGGUCAGAAAGCCACGGCUAACUACGUG
rnacentral:rRNA from 1 species